UCCUAGGGCAAGGCCUUUUGGGUAGCUGCAGGGGCCAAGCCUCCAAGGAGUGUAUGCUGCUAUGGAGCCUCAGGGGACUCUGCAUCAGGCUUAGACUGCUAGGAAGUGGCCUCAGGAGCCAGAUCCUCUGGGGAGAAAGUACUGGGAGGAGUUGCUCUGCCAAAAGAGCCUGGAGGCAGAUGAAGGGAGAGUUGUGUUCUGGUGCUCUGACUACUGCUUCUUAAUGGGCUGGAUUUAAAAACUCCUUGAGUCACUAUACAAGUGAAUAUUUUGAUGGUGACAGCACUGUGGCAAUGUUGAUCGAACCUGGCCUGAGUAUUCAAGAAACGUGCACACAAAUCUUAUUAGCGAUGCACCCAUUGGAUCAAAGCCAGCCUGCCUUCCCCACACAAACAUGAACUUUUUGGAGCCAUUCAGAGUCAGAGCAGAACUUUGUGCUUCAAGCCUCUCUGAGGAGCUGAACUGGAACACCAAAUCCAAAUCUACGUGAGCACUGGAGGCAUUUGAAUUUGUAUUGCCGUCUAGAUUCAAACUUCUCAGCUUAGGCCUGUCUGACUAGUAGAAGCCUGAUCUAAAUUAAGGGCCAGAUUCUAAUACCUUUUGAAUUGUAGAGUGGGUUGUACUUUAGUAGUCCUACUGUCUUCACUGAGAAUACUCAGUGUGGCAGAGUACUAAUCAAUGUAAAAGUAAGGAUCGCAAAACCUAGCCCCAGAGACAGUGAAUGUGCUGGACAGAUAUUCCAAAUGUAGAGCACUGGGGUAGAGGUGGUUAUGGGGGAAAUGGUUUGGUAUCUUUUUUUUUUCUUCAUGUAAAAUAUUUGACUUCCUGAGGGCUGGGGAAGUUUGUCAAAAGAUUUUGAUCAAAACCUGAAAUAUUUUGACUUGGAAAUGCUGCUGUAGUGCUUUAUGGGAGUUGUAGUUCAGGUGCCUCAUAUUCCCAUUCUCCUCUAUAAGCUUGGCUCACUGGUCAUACUACAUCUCCCAUGAUGCACCACAAUUUCCCCCUUCAUGAGGUAGUUGAAUCACGUGUGUCAGGCUGUGGUGCAUCAUGGGAGAUGUAGCCUGGCAGGGAAAUCUGACACGUGGAUGAGAAUGGCACCAUGAGGCAACCAAACUACACUUCUCAGGAGGCAAUGCAGUGGCACAGUCCAAAUGAGAUACUUUGAUUUUUGGCUGAAAUACUUCAGUCUUUUUUGGUGGAAAACCACUUCUACAGGCUUUGGGCACUUUAUCUUUCAAUAAAAUUGAAACUUUCUGCAGACAGCAGGUGCUUCAUAUAACCAAUUUUAUUUAGUCAAACUAAUCUUCCAGCAGAACUGGGUUGGCAGAAUACUGUCAACCCACCACCCUAACUGGGGUUUAACUGAGCAGUCAGUCUGCAGUCAUGGGUCACUCAAGCUGGAGUCUGAUUUUGGAUAGACUGUUUUGAGGGGAGA